AGCAGUGUAACUCGGUGGAAAGAGCCUGGGCUUGGGAGUCAGAGGGCAUGGGUUCGAAUCCCGUCUCUGCCG
rnacentral:tRNA from 1 species